GAUAAACGCUGGCGGCGCACAUAAGACAUGCAAGUUGAACGGACUUAAUCGAAAUAUUUAUAUUUUGAAGCGGUUAGUGGCGGACUGGUGAGUAACGCGUAAGGAACCUGCCUAUUAGAGGGGAAUAACAGUGAGAAAUCAUUGCUAAUACCGCAUAUGCCAUAGAUAUCACAUGAUAACAGUGGGCAAGGAGCAAUCCGCUAAUAGAUGGCCUUGCGUCUGAUUAGAUAGUUGGUGGGGUAACGGCCUACCAAGUCGACGAUCAGUAGCCGGACUGAGAGGUUGAACGGCCACAUUGGGACUGAGAUACGGCCCAGACUCCUACGGGAGGCAGCAGUCGGGAAUAUUGCGCAAUGGAGGAAACUCUGACGCAGUGACGCCGCGUAUAGGAAGAAGGUUUUCGGAUUGUAAACUAUUGUCGUUAGGGAAGAGAAAGGACAGUACCUAAGGAGGAAGCUCCGGCUAACUACGUG
rnacentral:rRNA from 1 species